UACGUAGGGGGCGAGCGUUGUCCGGAAUUACUGGGCGUAAAGGGUGCGCAGGCGGCAGCUUAAGUUUAUUGUGAAAUCCCCGGGCUCAACCUGGGGUUUGCAGUAAAAACUGGGCAGCUAGAGUACAGGAGAGGUAAGCGGAAUUCCUAGUGUAGCGGUGGAAUGCGUAGAUAUUAGGAGGAACACAAGUGGCGAAGGCGGCUUACUGGACUGAAACUGACGCUGAGGCACGAAAGCGUGGGGAGCAAAC
rnacentral:rRNA from 1 species